rnacentral:tRNA from 1 species
GCGGGAGUAGCCAAGCCAGGUCAAAGGCGGCGGACUUAAGAUCGUAACAAACUAUGGGGUCACGAUAAGUUAUCCGCUCUCGUAGGAGUUCGUGGGUUCGAACCCCACCUCCCGCA